GGCGGCGUGCUUAACACAUGCAAGUCGAACGGGAUCCAUCAAGCUUGCUUGGUGGUGAGAGUGGCGAACGGGUGAGUAAUGCGUGACCAACCUGCCCUGGAGUGGGGGACAACAGUUGGAAACGACUGCUAAUACCGCAUAAGCCCACGGCCCGGCAUCGGGCUGCGGGAAAAGGAUUUAUUCGCUCUAGGAUGGACUCGCGUCCAAUUAGCUAGUUGGUGAGGUAACGGCCCACCAAGGCGACGAUUGGUAGCCGGACUGAGAGGUUGAACGGCCACAUUGGGACUGAGACACGGCCCAGACUCCUACGGGAGGCAGCAGUGGGGGAUAUUGCACAAUGGGGGAAACCCUGAUGCAGCGACGCCGCGUGGAGGAAGAAGGUUUUCGGAUUGUAAACUCCUGUCGUUAGGGACGAAUCAUGACGGUACCUAACAAGAAAGCACCGGCUAACUACGUGCCAGCAGCCGCGGUAAAACGUAGGGUGCAAGCGUUGUCCGGAAUUACUGGGUGUAAAGGGAGCGCAGGCGGACCGGCAAGUUGGAAGUGAAAACCAUGGGCUCAACCCAUGAAUUGCUUUCAAAACUGCUGGCCUUGAGUAGUGCAGAGGUAGGUGGAAUUCCCGGUGUAGCGGUGGAAUGCGUAGAUAUCGGGAGGAACACCAGUGGCGAAGGCGACCUACUGGGCACCAACUGACGCUGAGGCUCGAAAGCAUGGGUAGCAAACAGGAUUAGAUACCCUGGUAGUCCAUGCCGUAAACGAUGAUUACUAGGUGUUGGAGGAUUGACCCCUUCAGUGCCGCAGUUAACACAAUAAGUAAUCCACCUGGGGAGUACGACCGCAAGGUUGAAACUCAAAGGAAUUGACGGGGGCCCGCACAAGCAGUGGAGUAUGUGGUUUAAUUCGAAGCAACGCGAAGAACCUUACCAGGUCUUGACAUCCGAUGCAUAGUGCAGAGAUGCAUGAAGUCCUUCGGGACAUCGAGACAGGUGGUGCAUGGUUGUCGUCAGCUCGUGUCGUGAGAUGUUGGGUUAAGUCCCGCAACGAGCGCAACCCUUAUUGCCAGUUACUACGCAAGAGGACUCUGGCGAGACUGCCGUUGACAAAACGGAGGAAGGUGGGGAUGAC
rnacentral:rRNA from 1 species